rnacentral:lncRNA from 1 species
AUGAAAGGUGUUCAUUUCCUCACAAGCACUGUUACCAUAUUGGCAUUCACAAGUUUCCUUGUGUCCGCCUAUGACCCCAGUCCUCUGCAGGAUUUCUGCGUAGCAAUUAAUAACCCCCCAUCUGCUGGUAUAUAAUAGUAUAUAUAGUUCAUUUAUCUAAUAUUAGUAUUUGCACAUUAGAUACUCAUAAUGCCUUAUGAAUAUUAUGAAACUAUUUUGUUGUUAAUCAUAUGUUUUUGAAUGAGUGCAUCAUCAACUAUUUAUCCGCAUGCUAAUCGUACCAUAUUUUCUGAUCAUCUUAUGAAUCACUUCUCUAAUGGAUGUGAAUUCACAGUUAUGUGAUUCCGCCUCUAUACAAUUAAAAAAUAAGUAGUUCAAAUAACAACAUUAUUGUUCGUUUUAAUGCAUGUGACAACUAAUACUACAAAGACAAUAACCUUCUUUUUCUUUUUCUGUUUUCAUAGUACAAGCAGUGUUUGUGAAUGGGAAAUUCUGCAAGGAUCCAAAGUUCGUUACAGCAAAUGAUUUCUUCUUUUCUGGGCUUCAAAUUGCCAAAAGCACAGUAAAUCCAGUUGGUUCAACAGUGACAGCCGUGAAUGUAGACCAAAUAGCAGGAUUGAACACUCUUGGCAUUUCCCUAGCUCGCAUAGACUUCGCACCAAAUGGCCUAAACCCUCCUCAUACUCACCCUCGUGGCUCAGAAAUUCUUGUAGUCUUGGAAGGUACACUCUAUGUCGGAUUCGUCACAUCAAAUGCUGAUAAUAAUCGGCUAAUCAGCAAGGUGUUGAACAAGGGAGAUGUAUUUGUGUUCCCAAUUGGUCUCAUUCACUUCCAACUCAACGUGGGAUACGGCAACGCUGUAGCCCUUGCUGGCCUUGGCAGCCAGAACCCAGGAGUGAUCACCAUAGCCAAUGCAGUUUUUGGCUCCAAGCAUCCCAUCAACCCUGAUGUUUUAGCCAAGGCCUUCCAAGUGGACAACAAAUUGGUUGAUUAUCUUCAGAAACAGUUUUGGUACGAGAACAAU